CGGAGGAUCCGAGCGUUAUCCGGAUUUAUUGGGUUUAAAGGGUGCGCAGGCGGGAGAUUAAGUCGGCGGUGAAAUUUUGCGGCUCAACUGUAAAAGUGCCUUCGAAACUGGUUUCCUCGAGUGUAGAUGAAGUAGGCGGAAUUUGUGGUGUAGCGGUGAAAUGCAUAGAUAUCACGAGGAACUCCGAUUGCGCAGGCAGCUUACUAAACUACUACUGACGCUCAGGCACGGAGGCGUGGGGAUCAAACAGGAUUAGAUACCCUGGUAGU
rnacentral:rRNA from 1 species